AUUGAACGCUGGCGGCAGGCCUAACACAUGCAAGUCGAGCGAGCGGCGGACGGGUGAGUAAUGUCUGGGAAACCGCUUGCUGUAGGGGGAUAACUACUGGAAAAGGUAGCUAAUAUCGCAUACCAUCUGAUGUGCCCCGAUGGGAUUAGCGCGUAGGUGGGGUAAUGGCUCACCUAGGAGACGAUCCCUAGCUGGUCUGAGAGGAUGACCCGCCACACUGGAACUGAGACACGGUCCAGACUCCUACGGGAGGCAGCAGUGGGGAAUAUUGCACAAUGGGGGCAAGCCGGAUGCAGCCAUGCCGCGGGUGUGAAGAAGGCCUUCGGGUUGUAAAGCACUUUCAGCGGGGAGGCGUUACCCGCAGAAGAAGCACCGGCUAACUCCGUGCCAGCAGCCGCGGUAAUAC
rnacentral:rRNA from 1 species